ensembl:lincRNA 1700128E19Rik RIKEN cDNA 1700128E19 gene
AGACACUUGUGGAACGCUUUUAUAAAACAGCUCGUCCACUAUAAACCAUUGAGGAAGACUCAGUCAACUUCAGCGACUAAAUAUGAACCAUAGUAUCCAUCCAUAUGGACAGGUGGAGAUAUUUCCACACCAACAAUCAGCAUUUAAUUCUUCCUUUCACAUCUUUAUGCCUUUUAAUUCCCUAGAACUUUACCCAUGAUCCCUUACUGCUGUGGAAUAUACUUCCCUCACAGUGAGCAUUUUUAUCUUAGUCACAAGGUGACACUUCCCACUUGUGGAUAUGUCUGACCUCUGGGCAGUGGCAGUAGGGGUUUGAGGAUGUCACCUCUGGCCACUUAACAAUAAGCAGUCACGAAGCCCACUAGUUUCAGUGUCUCUGGCUACACUUUCUCUUCCCAGUGAUCACCAACCUGGAGAGAUGGAUGCCUGGGCAUGGCUGCCCGACCCUGCUUGUGCCUUUCUGUGACACUUGAGAACAAGGCUGAGUCCCGAAGGCACUGAGGAAACAUCAGAAGCCCCACAGGGGAACAUCCGAUCCAUCUUGAGCUCAUUAUUGGCUGCCAGAUAUAAGCAUAGGGUCAUCUUAUGGCCACUCCACCCAUGCAGGAAGGUGCUGAGCUGAUGGAGCAGAACGGAGGGUGGGACCGUUUCCGACCACAGAGACUGGAACUGGGUUUCUUGGUGGUUGUUGUAUGUGCUGGGCUAUAGCCCAGAUCUACAGCUUGAAGCCCACCCUAAGAAGGCACAGUGUGAAGGUACCAGGCACACCCAGGAAGGAUCUUAUCUGAACCCCCCACCCCAGAACUUUGUGAAAUAAAAGCGUGUUGUUUGAGCCCCUCCAUCUGUGGCACAUGGUUACAGAGGCCUUAACCAACCAACGUGAGUGGUAACCUACUAGAGAAACAUUUUCCAUGCCUGACAUCAGUUUUGCAAGGUUGCAGACUCAAACUUGACAGUGCAUGGGAACAGGCAAGCUCUGUGCACCAGAUCAGCAAGAGGCUGCUGCUGUGCCAUCAAGAUCACCAGAUCUCCGACCUAUGUAAAGAAGUCAGGGGUGUAGAGCUCACCCCUGAUGCCUCCUCAAUUCUCCCACCCCCCACACAGGUGCCCUCUUGGGUGAAGAUGCUGUGACGUGGCCUCAGAAGAGGGAUUUCCCUUGGGCCAGCUCUGGCUGGUCUAUGAAGAUCUGUUUUCAGCAGGUGUCACAUACUGUCUCUUACUACGGACCCCAGAAGCUGAACCCAGUCCUGGAAUUCAAGUCUGUGAGCCUCCUCUUCCAUCCAUGUUCUAACCUCUCAUUCUGUCGGGACGGUCUACUAGCUGAGCCCUCUUCCUCUGCUCAUUGGUGGGUUCUUCCUAUGAUAUAGAGAUGACUGGGUUAGGGAGCCUCUGGGCAUCAGAGGUGCUCUAGCUCCCCCUUAGGAACAACCACAUGUCUCCCCACUUCUCUACAGGGUCAUGCCAAGCCCCUGGUACAUGCCUGCUCCUGUCCCAGCAGAGUCAUUUUCCUUGGUGUGUACUGUUUCCAAGUCAGCUAAAGUAUCAUUGCCCACCCCUGCCUGGACAGAGUGACUCACCAAUGUGGAAGGAGGGACGUGCAAUGGCUGUGAAGACCUUUUGAUUUGAGCUAUCCUAGUUCUCCGGGUUCCUGUUGGGCUGGGAGUGCAGUACAGCUGAGGCCAGCAGAGACUCACAUUGUGUAGCUUCCUCAAACCGUGGUUUAGAAUGUGUGACCCUAACCAGCACUGUGCACUUAGCAGGUGCUAAUGCCGAGGACGCAGGAGUGGAACAGCUGACCUCAUCCCCAUGCUUCGGCCUCGCCAUCCUGGCCAGGUUCAGGGCCGGGGUUCUGGAUAUUGAGAUGCCACUGAGGACAAUGCCAUCCACCAGCAAAGCUUCCAUGGAUUUGGGAAUAUGUGGGUGUCCCUCUUCUCCCUCUGGUGGACUUGUCAGCUUCUUGUCUUGAGGGCACAGAGGCCUUGUGGAAAGGCUAUCUAUCUCUCUGUACCAGGUUUUAUAAUAGCAGGCAGUAGGCGGGGGGUGUGCUUAGUCAGCAGAGAGUUUGCCUAGCACUCAUGGAGUCCCGAGUUCUAGCUCCAACACUAUGUAAAACUGGUAUGGUGGUUCAUGCCUCUAACCCCAGUCCCGGAGAGCAGGAGGAGUCUUGAACUAUGUAUAUAGCAAGACAUUAUCUUAAGCAAACACUCCCUGUUUUUUUGUCUCUUCUUUGAACCUUAUCCCCUGGACCCUGAGUUGAGGGGGUUCCACCCAGAACUGGGAGCUCCAUUCUGCACUGGUGGUGGUAGGGCAGGGCUCCCUCUACACACACAUUUGCUAAUGCUGUCUAGACAAACUUGAAAUUAAAUUUAGUUCUUGG